AUCCUUUGGUGGUUCCUAAGCGUGGUGGCUGAUUUUUCACGCGCAUGUGUCAGAUGCGCCUCCCUGAAACCUUGUUACAACUUACCGCACAUCACCCCUCUGAUG